rnacentral:rRNA from 1 species
AGAGUUUGAUCCUGGCUCAGAUUGAACGCUGGCGGCAGGCCUAACACAUGCAAGUCGAACGGUAACAGGACUAGCUUGCUAGUUGCUGACGAGUGGCGGACGGGUGAGUAAUACUUAGGGAUCUGCCUUUGGGAGGGGGAUAACCAUUGGAAACGAUGGCUAAUACCGCAUAACGUCUACGGACCAAAGGGGGCUUCGGCUCUCACCUGAAGAGGAACCUAAGCGAGAUUAGCUAGUUGGUGGGGUAAAGGCUCACCAAGGCGACGAUCUCUAGCUGUUCUGAGAGGAAGAUCAGCCACACUGGGACUGAGACACGGCCCAGACUCCUACGGGAGGCAGCAGUGGGGAAUAUUGCACAAUGGGGGGAACCCUGAUGCAGCCAUGCCGCGCGUGUGAAGAAGGCCUUCGGGUUGUAAAGCACUUUCAGUUGUGAGGAAAGGUUAGUAGUUAAUACCUGCUAGCUGUGACGUUAACAACAGAAGAAGCACCGGCUAACUCCGUGCCAGCAGCCGCGGUAAUACGGAGGGUGCGAGCGUUAAUCGGAAUUACUGGGCGUAAAGCGCACGCAGGCGGAUUGUUAAGCUAGAGGUGAAAGCCCCGCGCUCAACGUGGGAAUUGCCUUUAGAACUGGCAGUCUAGAGUUUUGGAGAGGGGAGUGGAAUUCCAGGUGUAGCGGUGAAAUGCGUAGAGAUCUGGAGGAACAUCAGUGGCGAAAGCGACUCUCUGGCCAAAAACUGAAGCUCAUGUGCGAAAGUGUGGGUAGCGAACAGGAUUAGAUACCCUGGUAGUCCACACCGUAAACGCUGUCUACUAGCUGUUUGUGAAUUUAAUUCGUGAGUAGCGAAGCUAACGCGCUAAGUAGACCGCCUGGGGAGUACGCGCAAGGUAAACUCAAUGAUUGACGGGGCCGCACAGCGUGGAGCAUGUGGUUUAAUUCGAUGCAACGCGAGACUUACUACACUUGACAUGCAGAGAACUUUCAGAGAUGAUGUGCUCGGACUCUGACACAGUGCUGCAUGCUGUCGUCAGCCUCUGUUCGUGAGAAUUGGGUAGUCCGCACGAGCGCAACCGUGUCUUUUGCAGACAUGUGAUUUGGACUUAUGAACUGCGGUCCAACCGAAAGUGGGAACCUCAAGUCAUUCAUAUGCCCGUACUGUGGUAAGGUAUCACACAACU